rnacentral:rRNA from 1 species
UACGUAGGGUGCGAGUGUUGUCCGGAAUUACUGGGCGUAAAGAGCUCGUAGGUGGUUUGUCGCGUCGUCUGUGAAAUUCCGGGGCUUAACUUCGGGCGUGCAGGCGAUACGGGCAAUACUUGAGUGCUGUAGGGGAGACUGGAAUUCCUGGUGUAGCGGUGGAAUGCGCAGACAUCAGGAGGAACACCGAUGGCGAAGGCAGGUCUCUGGGCAGUAACUGACGCUGAGGAGCGAAAGCAUGGGUAGCGAACAGGAUUAGAUA